UUUUCUUUUUCCUUUUUUAGUUUCAAAAUCAUUCCCUUUUUUUCAAACACCGACCCUUGGGUUUCUUAGCCUCCAGUGCACCGCCGCCGCAGCCAUGAAGACCGGUGGCCGACGACGGAGGAAAAGAGGUGAAAGACCUCGGCCUUAGAAUACCCCGAGGGCUGAACCCUUCAACCUUAAACAAGAAAAAAGGAAGAUUCUCAGCACCCUCUAGAUCCGGCGGUCGCAAAGGAGGAGAACCCUCCGUGAGCCGGAUCCCGGCGCUUCCUCGGUAAGUCCCCUCUCCCCUUUUUAUUUUCACGUUUUCUUUGUAAAAAUUUCGUAAAAAAAAUGCGUAGAUAAAUAAAUGAAAUAAAUAAAUGAUAGAUGAUAAGAAACGGAAAUCAGAAAAACUAAAGAAAACAAUCAGAUUUCUAUCAACCUUUUAGAAUCUCAGUUCUGUAUUUCUUGAUUCACUGAUGUGUGUUCGUAAAAAAAAACAACGGUGAGAUUCGGGCUUUUAUAGCCGAAUCAAAAUGAGUUUUUCUUCUUUAUUAUCUGUUAACUAUUAUUAUUGCUCGCGUGCUUCCUUUUUGCCAUUAUAUUUAAUUUUCGCAGGUGUCAGACGCGUGGACGACCGGUGGUAGGCGAGCCUUGGGCGGUGGCGGCGUGUGAGGAGCUGGAGCGGCGUACCUGGCAGAGGUGUGCAUGCGGCUAGGGCUAGGUUUUUUUUUGCUGAAACAAAUUUUAAUUUACUGGGCUUUGGGCUGUAAUUUUUGGGUUAUUUUCAUUUGUUUUGGGUCUUUAGGCCUAGGUCAAAAUUGACCUGUUACAAUUGUCAUAGUGUUUCAUGUGUACUUAAUUACUCACAUUUUGUAUAUAUAAUGUAUACGUAAAAAAUAUUAAAAUUAUUAGAAUUUAAAAGAAUGAAUAUUUGAAAAAAUAUAUAAUUU
rnacentral:lncRNA from 1 species